GCUGGGCAUGGUGGCGCACGCCUGUAAUCCCAACAACUCUGGAGGUUAUGGCAGGAGGAUCACGAGUUCAAAAUCAGCCUCAGCAAAAGCGAGGCACUAUGCAACUCAGUGAGACCCUGUCUCUA
rnacentral:sRNA from 1 species